AUUCAUUUUUCUUGCAGAGCAUCGAGACUCACCUUUGAAAAUUAAUUAGCCAAUUUCAUUCACGAUGCACCAUCUGUGUGAGAAUUGAUAAGAAAAUAGAACCAGAUAUGCAGAUUGCUUCCAAUAUUAUGUUUAUUGAGUUUAAUUGAGAGAUGAAGCAACUUCAGUUGUAAUAGUUUAGAUGAUUUAGAGUAUACUCAAACUCUAAGGUGAAUUUUUGUUUUUGUGACAUCUAACAUAUCAUUUUGUCUAAAGCUGUAGUUGCUUAAUUUUAUGGAAGAAACUAUAUUAGUUUUUAUUUAUGUGUGAUUAAGUUAAUUGGCAGAAGUGGUGAACAUUUGGGUUCAUUAUG